CUUGCAUCUCCAGCACAUAUUUGACUCGCUAGCAUUCAUUUUAUUUAAUCUUGUUGGCACUGAAUACCAUCUGUUGCACACUUUAAAGUGUGUUUCAAACAAUAUUAUAUUUUGUACAUUUUUCUUAGUUCUGACUAGAGUUUCACCCCAGACACAGAUAUUAAUUUCAAUAUUGCACUCGCUUUCCCAUUUUCUUAACUGUUUUGGCAAAAU